UGGGGAAUAUUGGACAAUGGGCGCAAGCCUGAUCCAGCAAUGCCGCGUGUGUGAAGAAGGCCUGCGGGUUGUAAAGCACUUUAAGCAGGAAAGAAGGCCUUGGAGUUAAUACCUUCAAGGAUUGACGUUACCUGCAGAAUAAGCACCGGCUAACUCCGUGCCAGCAGCCGCGGUAAUACGGAGGGUGCGAGCGUUAAUCGGAAUUACUGGGCGUAAAGCGUGCGUAGGCGGUUGAUUAAGUCCGCUGUGAAAGCCCUGGGCUUAACCUGGGAACUGCAGUGGAUACUGGUGAGCUAGAGUGUGGGAGAGGGUAGUGGAAUUUCCGGUGUAGCAGUGAAAUGCGUAGAGAUCGGAAGGAACACCAGUGGCGAAGGCGACUAUCUGGACCAACACUGACGCUGAGGUACGAAAGCGUGGGGAGCAAACA
rnacentral:rRNA from 1 species